AUUAAAUCAAAAUGUAGUCUUCUAUUGAAGAAGAAUGAAUGGAUUGGUGAUCAUGAUCAGGAAGUUCCAUAUUUGACAAAGUUAGAAGGCAGGGCUGGACUGACCAGUUUCUGAGUAGUUCUUGCACUUGCCCUGCCACCAUCCCCUAAUCUGGUGGAUAGGUAAACUCUGACUGCAAGGGCAUAUAAAGCUGGGGCCCUAUGAUGUCACAGUGAUGGCCAGUCUUCUUAUCUAGGACAAGCCAUCACAGGGCUCAUUUCUCCUUUAAGUUUUUCAGGAAAUACAUCAGCAUCCUAGGACAUAGUCUUUUUCAAGAGAUUAUCUCUUUUUCCUGUUUUUUACUACCUUACUUCUAGUGGAAUCCUUAAUUCCUCAGUUUUGCUCCACUGGGGAAACUUGAGGCUGCUAAGGACCCUUGCAUUUGGAUUAGUCAGACUCCUCAUCUUUCCUGCUUCUCUUGAAAAGCCUCCAAUAGUGCAAUGGGGAGAAGACACAAGAAACUGCCAAAUGCUAACCAGGCUCAGCUCCUGCCCAAAGGCUAUCACCCAGCUAAGAAGGUGGUGAUCCCGUGCUCUCCACACCGCAGCAUAUCACUAUGCCCUCAAGAUUACCAGUCUCGCUCUGCACUGAUGCCUCGUCUCAACCAUCAGAGCAGAACCAAGGGGUCAUCGCGUCCUGACCAUAAGACCUCAGCGACCUUCUCUCGGAACCCCAAACUUGGGUCUGAGCCUGCUCAGUUACCUCAGGCUGUCCAACAGGCUGGAGUCAUGCCACGGCACCAAGGCAACCACCAGGCCCCAAUCACCCCGGCAACAGGCACUGCAGUUUUGACCUUGCCCUGUCCUGACUCCUGGGCCAGGGUAUCUGCUCCACCUUUCCCACACUCCGAAUGCCCAGCAGCACUUCCACUGGGCUCUAACCACCAUGUGGAGACGCCAUCCGCCCCCGAUCAUUUUGUAAAACCUCCAUCAGAUUCUGACCACCUUCCAAUGAUUUCCAAUGGCUGUGACCAUCGAGCAGAGGAUCAAUCAUGUCCAGAUCACAAGCCCAAGACCAUGCCUGUGCCAACACUAAACCACAACUUCCAGCCCUCCGCUGUACUAUUACAACGGCCUAGUCCAUGGACAUCAGCUUCACAAGGGAGCAGGUCUCGGCCCAAGAUAGCAUCUUCCCUAGAGAGGUACCUCAACCACUGGCACAGGGCCAUAUUUUCCCCAUUAACAUGUGCUGAUUGGCCUGGAGCUACACCAUCAGAUCCUGAUCCUUGUGUCAAAGGAAUCACUUCAAGAACCUCAUGUCCUGACCAGUUUUUAAGGCCCAAAACUGCACUGUUACGGCAUCCUGAACACAACCCCUGGAUCCUCAAGGCUCCCACUUCAUCGUGCUCCAUUCAACAGGUCAGAACCACAUCUGUGCCAUCACCAUGCCCUAACAACAGGGAAAUUACCACCACAUUUGUACCCGUCCAAUUCCCUGCUAGCCCAGCUGAGAAUCCACCAGGCCUUCAUUUUGAAGCUCAGGAUUCUACUAUACCAUCAGCAGUACAACCUGACCUCCAGGAUAUACCUCUACCAAACCUCAGUGGCACUACAGAAGCUCCUCUGAUCAUUCCGAAUCACUUACAAAAUAAAGAGCCUUCUUGUAAUUCUGCACACCAGGCCAAGACUCUUCUCAAUUCUGACCACUGGCCUAUGGUUUUACCACACCUCAAUUGCUGGGCUACACCACAAUCAUCUCCUGACCAGUCAGUUGUCCAAUACAUAGACCACCAAACAAAACCACCACUGAGACCUGACAGGCACAAGCUUGUGGCUCCACCAAGUCCUGACACAAUCUUUACUGAGAGUCUUUCUCCUCUCAAAAUUUGGGCUAUGCCUCUACCAGACUCUGAACAUGAGAUGGAGGUUCUCCCAACUGCCAACAAACUGGCUAGACCUCCAGCUGUCCCCAACCAAUGGCUUAAAGCUAUGUCAGGUCCUAAUGCUUGGGAAGAGGUGUCAAUGGAUUGUAAUCAUUGCAUAAAAGCUCCAUUAGAUACUUACCAAGAAAAGAUAGAAUCAGAUCCCAAUCAUUGUGCCAAGGCUCCACUAGAUACUUACCAACAAGGUAAGAUAGCAUCACAUCCCAAUGAUUGGGCCCAAGCUCCAUUAGAUUUUUACAAACACGAGGAGAUGGCAUCCCAUCCCAGACACUGGGACAAUGCUGCCUUGCAGUCAGAUUGCAGAGUCACGGCUCUACAAAGCCCUCACUGCCAAGACCAGAUUCCACCAGACAAAGAGCACCAGGCUGAUGCUGUUUCUACUGAACAUUGUGACAACACUGUUAUGGUUCUUGAUAACUGGGUCACGACUCUAUCAGACACUGACCAACAAGUGGAGAUUGAAUCUGACGCCAUCCACUGGGGCAAGGCUACAGUGGAUCCACACCACAAUUCCAUAGGACCACUGAGUCCUGAUAACCAGACCCUAAUUUCACCAGAUGUUGGGCUUCAGAAUGAGGAUAUACCAGAUCUAGAACAUCAAAAUGGCACCAAAAUAGUCCAAGACAUGAUCACCAAGUCUCUCCCAGCUUCUUGCCAUUGGGUUGAGGCUAUACCAGAUCCCAAACAUUAUAUCACACCAGUAGACCUACACUAUGAAACCAAGACUAAAAUUGGGCUCAAGAAUACUAUCAUGGAUACACCAGGUCAUGAUCAUGCAGUUGUACUUCCAGUUAUUCCUGAACACCAAAAUGAGGACAUACUAAAGUUCUGCCAUCAGAAAGAUGCUGAAUCCUUACUAGAUCUGGAUUAUGAGUCCAAAUUUGUAAGUGACCAAGAAUCCAUAGACAUUUUGGACUCAGACCAUCAGUCUAAAGCUCAGGAGGUUCCAGUCUAUGGGGCCCUACUUCCUCUGAUACCGGACUGCCAGGAAGAAAAUUUAUCAGACUACAAUGACCAGGAUGAUGAUGUACUAUUACUUCCAAGCUCUGAUACAGAAACUCUACCUCCAUCAGAUCUGGACAAUGAUGGUAAGAUUCCACUGAGGACAAACUAUCAGUCUAACAUACUCCCAGCCUUUGAUCAUCAGACUGAAGAGGCACUGGAUGCCCCAAACCAGGUAACUCUUCCCUCCAUCCUGGAUAAGGAUUUUGAGAUUUUAUUGAAUUCUGAUAAUUGUAACAAAACUCUCUUAUUUUCCCAACACCAAACUAUGCUGUCACCUGACAAACCAAAAUUAAGACAGCCUUCAUCAUGCUCUGAAAAAGGAGUAGUUUCAUCUAACCAAAAUCAAAAGGCUAUGCAAAUGAGCACUAACUCCAAGAUUCUGGACACAGUAGAACUCAAUCUCCAGACUCCACAAAGAUCUUGCCACUGGGCAGAUGUUCCACUAGAUUCCAAACACAAAGUGGCACAUCAACAAAGUAUAAGCCAUCAACUCACACCUCCACCACGGCUAAAAAGUCUGGUUGAGGACCACCUGGACCUUAGACAUCAGACUGAAACUCCACCAAGUUGUAAACAUCAAGUAAAAUGUCAACCAUUCAUGAAUAAUUGGGCUAGAAGUCCUAACCCCUUGACAGAAGAUGGGAAAAACAAAGAAUCUGCAUGGUGUUUAACAUACAUCAAACCAUAUACCAUUGAGGGUGGAAAUAUCUCUCACAGAACUAUUAACAGUAUCAUUAGAUCCAUCCCCCAGGAGAAAAUAAAAAACGACAUCUAUAAGCAACUUCUCCUACAGCAUAUGUCAGAAUGUUCAAAUUUUGAGAAUGGCUUAUGUCUAACAUCUACUUAUACAGUCUGCUUAAUUUGUGCCUCUUGGAUUCCUUAUGGCUGUCCUCAUGUUCAGGAAAUGAAAGAUGCUUGUAAAGCACAAUUGUUGUCUAUAUCAUCAUUACUGCCUGGUUCCAAGGAGGAGAUGAAUGUGAAAUUUAUUUUACAAGUUCCUCAACUAGAAGCAGGCUGUGUUUUUACUGUCCCAUAUCCUGAUUAUGGUUUUUCUCACCAUUUACACUAUAAACCUGGGAAAUCUUUUCAUGUGCCACUUGGCACUUCUAAAUCAAUGACCUUCCUUCUCCAAGAACCUGGCACAAAACUUACUUGGCUCGAUUUUAUCCGUGGCAAGCCUUACCACCCAUAUGGGAAAAAACUAGCUGGAAGUCAACAUUCACUCUUAGGGAAAAUGCAUAUAAACUCCACCAGAGAAGAAGGGACAAGGGGAUCUGAGAAAAUUUUUAAAUCUUUAUUAGAAAGAUUUCAAAAGAAAAGAAGUGCAAAUUAA
ensembl:lncRNA